UUUCUUUUUGGCUUGUUCACUACCAAAGUGUGAUCAAUAUUCACAUUGUUACUGUUCAUGUUCAUUUGACCACCUUUGACCGCCUACUUCACGCUACCUCCCACACCACAAGACUCACCUCCAUUAUAUCGGCUAAAACCUAAAGCGCCGCUAUUAACUGCCUAUUCAUGUGCGCCUUCUAGUUCAGCACGUGACACCCACUUGUGACGUCAUCUGUAGCGCAUGGUGUCUAUGCGCCGCCUUCUAGACCUCUGGUCACCGCUGUUUUCAAAUAAAUUGUAGAACGGUGAUUUCUUGUUUUGUUUUGGGUGUUCACUUUUCGAUCGGAGCACUUUUGUUUGUGGAUCAUUUAAAGCUCACACGGUUUUUGUGCGACCUUUUCUGUUGCGCUAAAGAAAGAGAAAGGGGAUUGACCCGACUCAAAUGAAAAUGAAGGAGAUUGUUUCUUUGGUAUAUACAAGUACACUUCCUCUUGAUAACAUUGCAAUGAAAUAAUGACAGUUACUAUAUAAAUAGUAGAGAUAUAACAAUGAAUUACCAAAGAUAGUGUUGGAUGGUUUUGAAGCAGCCUGAUUCUUAGCAGCAUCGCCCAUCAACCUUUCAUCAUCAGUGAAAGCAACAAAAGAAAGUGUGGUUUUGAAAUAUGCAAGUGUGAUUUUGAAAUGCCUCCAAUACAUACAAACCGUGUAAAUUUCUUUCACAAUGCAUGCUGAUUUUUUUAUUAUUAUAAAAAAG